UGAUCAGGAAGCUCUUCUACCUGGAUACUGCAGCUGCAGGAGCUGAAAUAAGGUGUAGGAUAGUCAGAGCCAGUGAUUUCUCCUAUGCUCUCCGUAAAAACCUGACUCUGACAGUGGCCUGGGUAAAAACCUUCAACCAAACAGCAGGAAAUUAUGACCAUUGGUGUAUUAACUGAGUUUGGAUGCACUGGGUAAAGGUAGUGGAUCAUUUUCUACACUUGUCUAUGCCUUCAUGAAAGUUCUGGAGACACAUAUGUACCUGUCUCUCUUCCUCUCUCACAGGGGGCCUAGGGCACCAGCACUACCCAGCACUCCUGCUUCAGGUGAGAGACAGGGAAGGACACUGGGAAAGUACCACUGAUGCAGCUGCAGGGCUGGACAGCAGAAAUAAGUGUGAAAACUGGAAGCUCUUCAGAAACAUUCCAAGACAUUUAGAAUGUAUUUUUCCAGCAAAACCAGCUGUGCCUCUUGCUGACAAAAUUGGAGCCACAAAUGCUCCCCUCUGAAAAGAAGCAAGAAGGAUCAGCCACAACUGCCCGGAGGACCUCUGCUUGUUGACAGCAUCUGAUCACUGUGAAGUGGUGCUUUGAUCAGCUGGGAACAAAGGCUUUAUGAUGUGCUGCAAAAGCUGUAUGAGCAACCCUGUAAUUGAUGAGGCAUGCUGGACUGCCUGAUAACACCACAGAUUUUUUCACUAUUCUGACACUGAAUUAAUUGCAAGAGGGAAAUUGGUUGACUUCAAAUUGAAUCAAACACACCAUGCUAACCUCCAUGAGCAAAAAUGCCAUUAUCCAGGCAUUAAUUACAGAUUAUCACCUAGAAACAGACCACACAGUUUAAGGUUGCCGUUUUAAUGGAAGGGAAACAAGUUGUGAAUUAGUUAAGGGAUGUUACUGUCCCUUAACUAACCAUAGACUUUGUAAGCCAAGAUUCUAAGCUUUCUUUUACUUCAGAGAGAGAAGUUUGUUUCCGCCCUAUGUCUAUGUCAGCCCUACUUGCUACUACAGGAAAUAUUUGAGUUGCAAGCAUUUACUGGGAAAGGAAAGAAGGAACAGGUAAAAAGGAUAAUAUUUUGUUCUAUGUUUGUGUGACUCAGCUCAACUGAAAGAUUCCAGUACAAGUCAUAAUGCCUUUGGGGCACCAAGUGUUUCUUUAAGUACAAGCUGUAAUUUCAGAACAAUGUCUCUAUGACCAUCUUCCCAGAAAGUAAUGAGCAGCUGCUUUUAUUUGACAUGAACCUAUUCAUCACUCCAGUGACUGCACCUCUGUGUGUCCCCCUGAAUUCAUUCUCAUAGGUUUUCAAACACAACUUACAUACAUUCAUAUUACUUUAGCAAACACCUAGAACUCUGAGGCUUUGCUCACCAGAACACACUUCAGCCAUGAAUCCAGGUUCUCAACGGAGAAAUGGUCAAAACUGGGAUUAAAAGAAAUUUAGACCUUUCCAAAGAAUGAAUGGGCUCUGAACAGAAAGUUUCAGUCUAGAAAUCUGGGUGCAGACUAGAGCAUAUCUAAAAGGAGCAUUAGGGAACAAAGGUAUGGUGUGGUUCUGGUCUUCUUGCUGUUUAGGAACUAAGUAAGG